AACGAACGCUGGCGGCAUGCCUAACACAUGCAAGUCGAACGAGACCUUCGGGUCUAGUGGCGCACGGGUGCGUAACGCGUGGGAACCUGCCCUUAGGUUCGGAAUAACUCCCCGAAAGGGGUGCUAAUACCGGAUAAUGUCUUCGGACCAAAGAUUUAUCGCCUUUGGAUGGGCCCGCGUUGGAUUAGCUAGUUGGUAGGGUAAAAGCCUACCAAGGCGACGAUCCAUAGCUGGUCUGAGAGGAUGAUCAGCCACACUGGGACUGAGACACGGCCCAGACUCCUACGGGAGGCAGCAGUGGGGAAUAUUGGACAAUGGGCGAAAGACUGAUCCAGCAAUGCCGCGUGAGUGAUGAAGGCCUUAGGGUUGUAAAGCUCUUUUACCUGGGAUGAUAAUGACAGUACCGGGAGAAUAAGCUCCGGCUAACUCCGUG
rnacentral:rRNA from 1 species